CUGAGGACUGGAGACCUCAGUCUGACCCUGAAAGACCCCCAAAACACCCACAGUGGUUUCUACAUGUGCACAGUCUCCCAGGGUGAAGACAUCCUGAGACAGAAAGGAGUGACGCUUACUUUCAGAGGAAAACAUGGUGCAAGCUUUACAGAGCUGUUUCAAGGUUUCCGAAAGAAGAGAAAAUCCAUAAUUGAUGGACCUUCUUCCUCUGUGAUUUAUGAAUCUAUUCCUCUCACGGCUAAUGAAACAACUUGAUGUUAAAUUGAGGAGAGCUGGCAGGAUGAUCCUCAUCUGAUCAUCUCAUCUGUUCAUCUUCUGUCUUCCGGAGUACCACAAGAUCUACAUCAGGGCAACUUAGUUUUCCCUGAAUAUUCUUCUUUGGUUCCACUUUUGUGUGGAGUUUGCA